GACAGAGGGUGCAAACGUUGUUCGGAAUUACUGGGCGUAAAGCGUGUGUAGGCGGUCAUGUAAGUCGGAUGUGAAAGCCCCGGGCUCAACCCGGGAAGUGCACUCGAUACUGCGUGACUCGAGUACCGGAGAGGUUGGUGGAAUUCUCGGUGUAGAGGUGAAAUUCGUAGAUAUCGAGAGGAACACCGGUGGCGAAGGCGGCCAACUGGACGGAUACUGACGCUGAGACACGAAAGCGUGGGGAGCAAACAGG
rnacentral:rRNA from 1 species